rnacentral:rRNA from 1 species
AGAGUUUGAUCCUGGCUCAGAACGAACGCUGGCGGCGCGUUUUAAGCAUGCAAGUCGAACGGGAACCUGGUCUUCGGACCGGGGGAUAGUGGCGAACGGGUGAGUAACACGUAGGUGAUCUGUCCUUGGAGUGGGGGAUAGCCCAUGGAAACAUGGGGUAAUACCGCAUGAGGUCUUGGGACUGUGGUCCUUUGAUGAAAGGAGCAAAUGUUCCGCUUUAGGAUGAGCCUGCGGUCCAUUAGCUAGUUGGUAGGGUAAGAGCCUACCAAGGCGACGAUGGGUAGCCGACCUGAGAGGGUGAACGGUCACACUGGGACUGAGACACGGCCCAGACUCCUACGGGAGGCAGCAGCUAAGAAUCUUCCGCAAUGGGGGAAACCCUGACGGAGCGACGCCGCGUGGACGAUGAAGGCCUAGAGGUUGUAAAGUCCUUUCGCAGACGAAGAAUAAGGCAAGGAGUGGAACGCCUUGCUGAUGACGUUAGUCUUGCGAAUAAGCCCCGGCCAAUUACGUGCCAGCAGCCGCGGUAACACGUAUGGGGCGAGCGUUGUUCGGAAUUAUUGGGCGUAAAGGGCGCGUAGGCGGUGCUAUAAGCUUGGUGUGAAAUCCCCCGGCCUAACUGGGGAAUGGCGCUGAGAACUGUAGUGCUUGAGUUCUGGAGAGGGAGCUGGAAUUCCUGGUGUAGGGGUGAAAUCUGUAGAUAUCAGGAAGAACACCGGUGGCGAAGGCGGGCUUCUGGCCAGAAACUGACGCUGAGGCGCGAAAGCGUGGGGAGCGAACAGGAUUAGAUACCCUGGUAGUCCACGCUGUAAACGAUGUGCACUGGGUGUCGGGGCUUUAAUGGGUCUCGGUGCCGUAGUUAACGCGAUAAGUGCACCGCCUGGGGAGUAUGCUCGCAAGGGUGAAACUCAAAGGAAUUGACGGGGGCCCGCACAAGCGGUGGAGCAUGUGGUUUAAUUCGAUGAUACGCGAGGAACCUUACCAGGGCUUGACAUGUACCUGACGGUCUGUGAGAGCAGGCUUUCUCUUCUGGGACGGGUACACAGGUGCUGCAUGGUUGUCGUCAGCUCGUGUCGUGAGAUGUUGGGUUAAGUCCCGCAACGAGCGCAACCCCUACUGUCUGUUACCAGCAUUAAGUUGGGGACUCAGGCGGAACUGCCGGUGACAAACCGGAGGAAGGUGGGGAUGACGUCAAAUCAUCAUGGCCCUUAUGUCCUGGGCUACGCACGUGCUACAAUGGCAGGUACAGAGCGCAGGAGCGAAACGGUGACGUGGGGCCAAUCGCUAAAAGCCUGCCUCAGUUCGGAUUGGAGUCUGAAACUCGACUCCAUGAAGGUGGAAUCGCUAGUAAUCGCGCAUCAGCAUGGCGCGGUGAAUACGUUCCCGGGCCUUGUACACACCGCCCGUCACACCACCCGAGUUGGGGGUACCCGAAGUCGCUGGUCUAACCCAUUUAUGGGGCGACGGUGCCGAAGGUAUGCCUGGUAAGGGGGGUGAAGUCGUAACAAGGUA